GGUGCAGAAGAGGGUGUGGGAUCUGCGAGGGAGUUUGGGUAAAAGAGGCGGUUGUGACCUGGGGCAGGGGAUUGGAGUGCAGGGUCUGGGAGGGGGUAUGGGUGUAGGAAGGGAGGGCAUGGAUUUGGGUUAUGUUGGCUAUGGAUGUAGGAGGAGGGGAGAGGUUUGGAAGGGCCUAAGGUGCCAGAUGCGGGCUCUGGCCGGGAGACUUACCUAGGUGACUCCCAAGCAGCAGCUCAGCAGGUUUCUCAGGUAGGUUCCCUGCCUGCCCUGCCCCCACACAGGCUAUGUGUGGCUGUGAAUAAUUGCGAGGCUGAGGGGAAGGAAGGAUACUUCAUGUGUUGUCUGCUCUUCCAACAGGCAGUUCCCAUUGACUAGAAACUGGCCAAUGAGAUUGUGCUAGGGGGCAACAUGCUAAGCCUCUCCCCCGGGCUUGCAGCUGUUCAAAGACAAACAGGGCCCCUGCAGCUGCUUUUCUGAGCAGCUUUUGAGGCAGGCUGAGGGCCUGUCUGAGGCUCCUCGCUGGCCUGUGGGCCGGAUGCGGCCCGUGGGCUGUAUUUUUUGCCCAGCCCUGUUGUAAUCCAUCACCCUGCAACACUGCCAUGCAGUGCUGAGACAAAAUCCACAUCCAUUGUUUUCUGUCUGGUCUUGCCUUUAACAAGCAUGUCCCAGGAGUAACAACUCCACCAUCUUAGUCUAUAGACAAGUCAUUAAAAAAAAUCCCUCUUACGAAAACCUGAAAGAAAACACCAUCUAAUCCUCCUCAGGUGCUAUUCCCCUCCCCCCGCUCCUCCACCACACAGAGUUCAUAUAGACUAGCAUUGCUCCAUUAAAAAUUCAACAUUCUGAUAAACUGAUGGCAAGUUAUGGACUCUUCUACUCACCUUAUUGGAAGUUAUAAUACCACCCCCCAAAAGCCAUAGAGUGUAAGGCCAGUAAGGACCACCAGCUUAUUCUGCAUAGUACAGUACAACCAUCUUCAUGCACCCUUCUUAAAACAAUCCAGUCCCCAAAAUCUUGACAGCUUGCCCAGAAAUGGAACCACUAGCUGUGCUGGACUGAUGCAGAAAGCAGAUUCCACAGACAUGAGCUGCUCUCUGAAGACAGGCUAGGCUGCCCAACAUCCAAUCCUCAGGACUGUAGCAGAGGCUUCUGGAUUUGAGCCCCUCUGCUGAUCUCCAGUCACGUGGGAUCAUAGAAGGAAAAAGGCAGACAUUGACAGAAUGGGUCCCCAGCAUUGAUAGGCCUUCUGAAUACCCAGUGAGGUUCACUUGGCCAACACAUCUCAAAGACCUGCAACAGGGAGUUACAGAAAGUCAGCGUUCUUGGCCAUUGCUGGUGCCUAAUCAUCCAGAAGCAGUUGAGAACUUAAUAAUCCCGAAGGCAGUGAACCGGGGUCACAAAAACCAGAGAACCCUUACAAAUAAGGGAAACUAAAAGAGCCCCCUGCCUAGUCUUCAAACCAUUUACUCCAGCCAACAAGAAUGAUCUGAGUUUUGUAUGAGCUGACCCUCUGCCGCUUUGUCUUUAUUCAAGUCCCAGGCUCAGCUAGGCACUGGCUGCAUGAUAUUGUGCCAGAUUACAUGGGACCAACACAGACAUAGGUUUCACACAUGCCUCACACCAAUGACAUCAUCGGCUGCAUUUCCUCACCGACCAGACCUACAACUCCUCCGUACACGGAACAAGAGGGCCGAGCAUGACUCAGUGGACCACUUAGCACACAUGACCAAGUACCGAGGCCAUGGGAUCUCUCAGAAAAAAGGGAACUGAGCCACUCAGGACAGAUUUCAUAUGCUCAUGCAGAGAGUCAACACCUCUUCCUGGCCAAGUGAACUAACAGAUCUCUAUUAAUCAGCUAAGACAGGGGCGGCCAACCUGAGCCUGAGAGAAAGCCAAAAUUUACCAAUGUCCAUUGUCAAAGAGACACAGCAAUGUUGUCAGCACUUCCACCCCUUCCCCCAAUCAGCUGUUUUGCGGCUGGCAGGAGGCUCUGAGUAGGAGCGAGAGCACAGAAGGUUCGGGGAAGUGGCGGGGGCCUUGGUAGAAGGGGUGGAGUGGGGGCAGGGUUUGGUGCAAAUGUGGGCACCCCCCGGCACACUUGAAAGUUAGUGCCUGUAACUCCCGCCCCCUGCUGUCAGCACCUAUGCAAGGAGCCACGUGUUAACUUCUGAAGACCUGCAUGCGGCUCUGGAGCCACAGGCUGGGGGCCCCUGGGUUAAGACAUCUGCCACCAGGCAGCCAGCAACAUCCUACCCCCAGGCAUAGUCUCAGUCUCUGUCAGGAUUACCCCAGAUUGGCAUGGAUCAAGAUGACCCGAGGAAUCCAGGUGCCGUUGGGACGGUUUUUCUACAGCCUUCUCCACAGACAAUUCAAACUGGAUGAUAAAAGGAAAAGUUUGUCAGCAUCAAGAUUUUUGUUUUGAGCCAGGGCCUAAUCAUUUUGGUAAGAGAAGUGGGCACUUCAACAGAAGUAUCACUUAGCGGACCCUGCCAAUCAGCUCUUAGAACAGCCUUCACAUUGUCCUAUUGGCUCUCACUAGCCAAGAGGGUUCCAAAUUCGAUCGAAGCUACAAGUUCUUGCCCAAAGCUUCCUCAGCAUCCCUGUGGUCAACAGUAGAGGCAAAUUAGCCUCUUUCCUCAGAAGACUCCACCAUGACACGGUGGGCUUAGUCCACGUCUUCCGUGCUCAGCUCUAAUUCCCCUCAUUACUGUGUCUCAGGAGCAAAACGCCAAAGAGAAGGCCAUGUAGGGGCCUCCAUUUCUCAUAGCCAAUAACAGAAGUGAUGCUGAACCUACUGGUCAUGAGCGGGACAACCAGCUAAAGAGUCGGCUGAGUACUAUUACCUCCGAACAGGCUCCAUCAGACCGAAGGGCCCAAUCUGACAGGCUAACAAGCGUGGUGGGUGAGGAGGCCAGCGUAUGACAUCCAUGCCUGAAGUCCCCUAAUCCGAGCUCAAAAACAAAAUGGAAAAAGGAGGCCAGGAAUUGACAUGGAGACAAAUAACUUACGACAGCCCCGGAUGGUCAUCAGGAAAUGGCAAGGCAGCUGAGAAGAGAGAUAAUUUGCACACACAAAGAAAUCGCCCCAACACAGGUAGAACUCCAGUCCUGUGCAAACUGCCCUCUACAUACGACUUUUAGAACCACAUUUUCUUCUGUUACACUGGUACAGCCAUAGUGGCAUCAGAGAUACAGAAUUGCUUCACAGAAGAGAAUCCAGCCAUCUCCCUUCUGUGCUCCUACACCUCACGGAGUUACUGCACAUCAAUUGCUACCUGAUUUUUGAAGAUAUAGACCUGAUAUGCUCCCAUCUCUCAACACUCCACUGUGCUGUUGGGUUUUACUAGAAUUGCAGGUGGCAGAGUCGCGUAUACCUUGUUCCCAAUGAACUGUACAGCACCGGACUUCCGUAAAUGGGACUAUUUCCCCCUCUCACCAUCUGGGACCUACCGUGUCACUCCUGCUUACCUACCAGUUUGUUGGGCAGGUUUUACGCUACCAUGCAACUUGGGGGGAGGGAUGCCGACAUGCCAAUCUCACAGCACGUCUGAAGUGGAGGUCAUAUGCAUUGGAACGCAGAGAAUUCAUCUUAGAUUGAUGAACAAAUACCGACUAGGGACUCGCUGUCUGGGAAAGGGACUUUAGGCACUGUUCCACAACAAGUAUUCCUCCUCCUCCCUUCACUCUGAGAACUUCCUCUGCGCCUUGCCAAGGUAACACUUCUGGAAAAUAUUGCCAAGGACUGUGGCAGAAUGCAACCGUCUGUUCGGUAAGAGGACUGGUAACAUGCAUCUCCCCAGGAGCUAUGCUGGAUAGUGGUAAGACAUUAAGUUUGAGAGCUGAUGAUAAAUCUACUCUUUAAUGUAGGCCGAAGGUGCUUGAACAAUCUUCUUGCAGUUUUAGACCAUAAACCUUCUUCAAAGCCAUCUAGGUCUGCUGGGCCAUCUAGCUCUACUUCCUAAUCCGGGUACCAUCUAAAUUGGGCCAGAUCCUUCCAAGGACCACAAUGAUAGGCUCUCCCAUGAAGGAGUCCAGAAUUCUCUUGUGGCUAUCUUCAAAGCAACAUUUCAAUGCAAAGUCUUUCUAUUCGCUUUAGUAUACCCCGCUCUCCUUUUUUAUAACCUCUUCCAGUUCAAAUGACUUGCUUUGCACCCAGAUUGCAAACGAUCCUGUUUCGGUUUCUUUUAGUUUCACACAAUGCACUAGAUGUAUGAAAAGCAACCCUAGAAAACAAAUCCAUCCUCUACCCUCAAUUCCCCCUAUACUUCUCUCACCACAAUUUUAAGCGUUUGGGACUUGCUACAACUACCCGAUUAGCCAGCAGAGAGUUUGGUAUUCAGUUCCCAUAUGCCAUGUAGGGCUAUUACGAGUCAUUACAUAGAUAAACUCAACGCCUGACCCUCGUAAUCUUCCCAUGCUUUGUAUUUCACUAAUCAUGGAAUACAUUUCAAACUGCUAUAUAAGAUGACUUCAUAUGGCCUUCAUGUACGCCUCUAAUGCCCUGGUCAUACAAAUGACUAUUUUCACAGUAACUAAUGUACUUCAAAAAACAAAAGCAGAGGGAGAUUUAAAAAACCCAACACAAAGCAAGCCAAAGACAACUAUCUAGCAUGAACAUGAGAGUGAGGAGAUGAGUCACACUCAUUUGAGAAGACCUGUCCGACCUAUUCCUGGCUUCUCCACUCACACAAAAAUUCCUUGCUGCCAAAAUUUAAAGCAGCAUUUUUCAUUUGCAUUCAGACCAUUGCUCUCAGUAAUUCCAAACACACAAGAGAUUAGUUUUAAAUGAACAAUGCCAAACACGAAGUCCAAAGUUUAGAUUCUGGCUAAUAAAAUGUCUAAAUAUCAGGUUUAGAGAAGUUCAUUAUAUUAAAAAUACAUGAGCAGUUAAAAAAAAAGAUGACACCUCGGUGCCAUGUUUGCAACCCACACAAAGCUUUUUGUAUAAUGGCAGAGAACCAGAGAGUGUUAAACUGACUGAAAGCGAAGUGAACCUAGCCAGUGUAAAGGGACACCAUUAAUCUCGUUUAAGUUACCUUUCAUUUUACAAGCAACAUGCAAGGUUCCCACAGCUGAACGAUUAGAGAAAAAGACUGACUGUUUUGACAAAAAGGACAAAUGAUCAUUUUGACAGCACUGUGUGUGCAGCUUCACUGUCACACUACCAAAGCUAUCCUCCGUUUCCUCCGUUUUUGUGGGGCAGGUUAAAGAGUAAAAAGUUUUAUUAAGUACAGAGAGAAUAUUUUAAAUAAUAAUAAAAGAUGGUUGUUAAGCACAUGAACUGGCAGGAAACUCAGAAGCAGAGAUAGAACCUUCAACCACUUGAGCUGUCAAAAUUUAGACGUCAAAAUUGACCGUGACUUUUUAACUACCCAAACUGAGUUAACUGCAAAAAAGUAGACAGCUAACAUGGGAGAGGAAAAGUGAAGGUGGAGUAAACCAGGAAAUUUUAAAAAGUUAAUGUAUUAGCAUAACUGAUUUUAAAUAAUGAUUUUUAAUUUUAAAAAAAUCUUGACAGUAUUCAUUAAAACUCUCCGGAAUGAAUGUCAGCAAAUCCCUGACCUUUCUGAAAACUACCAUGAACUAGUAGUAGGUUUCUGAAUGAGUAAUCUAAUUUCUAACUAGCUGAUCAUAUACCAAUGCUCGUUUUCUACAAACUGAGCUGACAAAAGACAGAAAAUUCAGCACUAAGUUAUACCGAGUUUUCAUGUUUUGCACAAGUUCCCAAGCAGUAUAAACCUGUUUUAAAAUUCUUGUACAUCAAUGUCAGGAUAUUCACCUCCAUCCCCGACAACUUUACAAAUAACAGGAACAAGUCAAUCAGAUUUGGUAUAUGCCUUGAAAUGGAAAGUCUGGACUUAAAAAAAAUAAUACUUGUGAAAGUUGCUGAAUCCACUGAAGUCCCCAAUCCAAAAUAGUUAGCGUAUUUUUUGCUUAAAAAGCUUUAAAUGUUUAUCUUUAAGAAUUUGAAACAGGGGAGACUUUUGAAGGAGAAGAAACAUGUAAAGGUGCAAAAAUAUAACAUGGUAACCUUGUAAGGCUUUGAGGAGACUAAGCAUUUUUUCUUCUUAAAGGCCAGGAAAAAAAAUCCAAGGGUCAGUUUAAGAGUUUACAGGUACCGGAUUACAUAAAGAUGGAUGCAUAAUGUCAAGAAGCACAAUCAAGAACUUCAGAUUUGAAUUAUUAAAAGUUGUAUGUGUUAGCAUUAGAUAAAAAUGCAUAUCUACCAAAUCGUCACUGACUAACAGUAAAAGUAACUUGGAUAUGAAAAAUCAUUUCAAUUUAUGUCAAUAUUUAUCCUUUUUCUCCCUCAUCCCACUCCAUUCCUCCCCAAAUUCACAGAGGAGUAGCUAUGUUACUCUGUAACUGUAAAAACAAUGAGCAGUCCUAUGGCAUCUUACAGACGAACAUGUAUUAGGUCAUGAGCUUUUGUGGGUAAAACCUACUUUAAGGUGCCACAGGACUGCUCCCCAAAUUCAGUUUACUUUUUUCUUGGGAGACGUAUAGCACCACUGCAUUAGAACGUACAAGAAAUGAAAACAGUGAGUACAACCAAUAGAGAUCCAUUGACUUUUUAUUACAAAUUUACUUGAUCAUGUGGCUUCAAAAAGUUUAAAUCAAUACCCUAUUUUCUGUAUGCUAGUACAAAGCAAAAUCUAUUUUACAAAUUAAAUACCUAAAAAUUUGACAAAAAUAAAGUUUUAUGGAAAACAGUUAUAAAAAUAUUAAAUCCUCUUAAGGUAAGAGGAUAUAUUCCCUCCCCACCCCUGCAGUCCUGUUAUACAAUAUUAAUGUUCAUCAUUUUUAGAAUAGGUAGGUAUAUUUUGCUGUUAGCAUACAAAAGUCAUACUAAUAGCUUUAUUUGUAUAUACUCCAGUUAGUGCAUCAAUGCCAUCUGAUUGUAAUAUAAUCAACUAUCUUUAAUUGAAUCCUAAUUUACAUUGAAUAGUUUGCAUAGUUUGAAAGGGAUAAAGGUCAUACUAUAGCUAAUCAUAAAAAGAGUGGUUACAGAGCUGUUUUAAAGGCAACAAAGUAAUUGCUCCCAAAUAAAGUUAUAGGCCUGCUCUAGACAGGGGUUAAAAUUACCAGCAGCUUUCUGCUUUGCCCGAUAUGAUCGUUAUAUCUCACUAGUCAAAGUGGACAAUCUUUCUACUCUUUAGAUGUCUGAGAAGUUCUUCGUAAACUGCUAAUUUUGCGCUCCUUCCCAAAGAGUGCUACGCUGAGCAAAUUUCAACCCCUGCAAGGGAUACUCCAAAAAGUGACACUGUCAAGUAUUUUUUUAAAAUAAAAGGUUUACAUUUUGAAAAUUCUCCAUUGUGUAGGACAGGACGCCUUCUGAGAAGUUUGAAAAUAAAACGCCCACUCCUUACCCCUAUACCACAUUUUUCUAUUUGGCAACAGCUGAAUCUCUCCUCCCCUCCCCCCACUCCAUUUCAUAGGGCGCAAAAGCCAACUUGGCUUUAUUUGUAAACUUCUAUGUUGUCACAGGCCUCUUCAAUGAUUUCGGCACAGUUCUGGUUUGUUAGUCAGCUUUUGCUCCCCUUGUGGCUGGAUGGCUGCCUUUUGCAGCAGAAGCAGAACAAUAAAUAAAAGGCAUGAAUCAACAGUGGCUAAUUUUUUUAUUUAAUUUCUCAGAGACAGAGCAUUAAUUUUUUUUUUAAAACAAAAAAAAAAAAAAGAACUUAGAAUCUGGAGGACAUUCUCCAUUAGAUUAUAAGCGCUUUAAAGAGAGGUCAUGUUUUAAUUAUAAAUUACUUGACAGUGUCCCUUUAACUUAAAAAUAAACGAAUGUCAGUAUUGCAAUGAAUUUCAAGUUUUCUUGCAUUUAGUCAUAUAAAGUAGUUUUAUCAUCCUCUUGGACCUUUUCUACAAGACAUUUAAAAGCAUAUCAUCAAGGAAAAUAUAAGGCAUACUUUUCAGGAAUUAAAUUUCUUGGCACAUUUGAGCAUACUGUCUUUUUAGAACAACACAUAUGGUCAAAUAUACCAUUACCUUUAUUUGUCUAACAUUAAACAGGGUUUUCCAACUGUAUUUUGUUUUAAAUACUGAGAUAAAGAACCUUGGUAAAGUACCGAGCACCUCAGGGAAAAAAGAAAAGAGAUGCUAAAUAAAAUAAAGAAAAAUCCUUUACAGUCAUUUAGUCGUUCAUCCAUAUCAUUUAUGAAUUCCUAGAAUAUCUGGAUGUGGAUUUAAUUUAAAACAAAAAACAAAACACUGACCACAAGUUCUCAGACACUGUUACAACACUUUGCUAAAACUGUGUUAAGCUGUAAUGGUAUGAAUGGAACUGCACAACCCAUGCACUUCUUCACCCAAUCAGAUCCCAUGCAGAAUCUGAAUUUUACAGGUAAAGAUUUCCCUUUAGUCAAUGCUGACCCUGGGGAAAAAGCCUAUAUAUUUAACAAAGCUUACAUUAACUCAAAACUAAGGAAGGACACUUUGCAGUAUUUUCACUGACUCACACUACUUAUUGCUGAUAACGUAGAACACUUGUAACUAUGAGCAAUGUGUGUCAAUCUGCAGUAUAGCUUUGAAAACUGUAGUAAACUGUAGAACCAAGACAUAGUCCAGUAGCAAUACCAAAGCAAUUAACUUUCCUCACUACAUCUAGCAGCAUGGAGAAUGCAGUCCUUUCCACCUCACAGUUAAAGUACAAUAAAUGAAACUGCUCAUCAAACCCUCCAAUUAAAAAAGGCAGGUUAUUAGACAUUUACGUGCAAUUGAGAACCAUUUCAAAUGUCACAUUAUGCACUAUGAAAGCUUAUUUUUACUAUCCGGAAACAGGAAAAGUGCAUCUUAAUGAAGCAAUUUAAUAAAUUUCCAGUGAUUGUUACAGAAACAAAUCCUCAACUUUUGUACUGUCAUCCUGUAUUUAACUUUCUAUGAAUACUACAAGCAAACUCUUCUAAAGGGAAAUGCGUGCAAUGGAAAUAGCUUUUGACACUCGCAGUACGUCUCCAAAACCAGAGAACUAUAUUUUUAAUGAAAAAGAAAAAAAAGCAGCAGAAAAUAAAAAUCUUUUAAACAAACUUUUUUCUCCUCUUCUAGGCCCGAUCCUUUACUUCCUGUUCCUAUAGAUGGUGUCUUCUACAUACAGCAGUUAGGUCUACAUGGUUAAAUCUGUCAAGAUGUUAAGAAAAAUGAUUGCAUCCCAGUAACUUUUGAGUUGAACAAGACUCUUGUUUUUCCCUAAAUGUUUUCUACAGAAUUGCAACCAGAAAAUUUACUGUUUAAGGCAUCUUUUAUAACAUUUUCUCUUCACUCAUGAUGAUAGUCAUGCAGCAGUUUAAUGAUAAAAAUAUAUUAAUAUUUUACUAUACAGCAGCAAGAAGUUAGUCAAUUAAAAGCACACAAACAUUUUUAAAAGAAAAACCUGUAAAAAGUCUAUUACUACAAAUAUUUCAAUUUGGAGAACACAAUUUGACAAAUUAGUGUUCUGCUAGGUUCUGCAUUUUCAUACCCUACGCUUUUUACUAUCUCACAAGUACAUAUUUUUGAUAGAAGGCUUGUACAACUUGGGGGUCACAACUAUAUUUAUAAUGUAUGUAGCCAGUAUAACUAGCACCACAGCUACAUGGAAAUCCUUUACAUACACCAUCUUGGCUUUCACUUUUAAAUGAAACUCAUAAUUCAUGGCUCAGUAGGAUUACUCUAUAAUUGUGUUGCACUGAUUUCUAUAAACAGGCCUACAUAAGUUAAUGGCACUGGCACAAAUCAAAGUAUAGGUUCCGACCUUUUACAAGUUUAGGAGCUAGUGCUAGUGCCAGUGACCACACAAAAGACUCACUACCUGUUGUCCAAAAACAGGUUUACUGGAAAUUGCUGCACGUCAGGUAAGUACUUUAAGUACACAUAAUAAAAAAAAUAUAUUAUGAACAAUACAAGUACAUCUCAUAUACACAAUAAUGACAAUACGCCUACUUAGUUGUAAACCAAACAGGUGCAGAAAAAUAUUAUGGGAGGAGAUUCUUUACUUUUUGUUUUGUUUUUACUAUUUGAAUAACUUUGGUUCAAACGUAAAAAUCACAAGUUAGCAAAUUUCAUUUAAAUGCCUUUUUUAAUAAUUUUUCUUCAUGUUCACAGAAGUUUCACUGACCAUUUUUAUAUGUUUAAGGUCCAGAUGCAAUGCAUAUUGUAUAAAAGAGAGCACUUAUUGUUUACCUUGCAUGAAUUAAACCUACGUACCUUUUAACUCUACGAACUUCUGCAUAACAUUUAGACAAAGCUCAGACACACAGCAUGCCUAGCCCUCAUAUAUAUACACAUCUCUAAUCACAGGUAUAUAGGGUGUCAAAUAUACUAUAAUAACCUCCAUGUAAGGUUUGAAAUUUGGUAACAAAAUGAGAAGAAAAAACUAAAAAUAUUAUUUUACGUGUUCUAAAAUAUCUCUUUUUUUUGUGCUAAAGUCAAAUGUUAGCUCAACAUGAAAAGGACUUUUUUAUAUAAUUCAGCAAUAUUAUAAUCUUGACCAUUUUUGCAAACACUUUUAAUAAUAAUAGCUUAAACGUGUACAAAAGUUCUUGGUUAAUUAGGGAAAUAAACACUCAGUUCUUUAUAUUUUUUUUUAAUCAAGUAGGAAACACAGUUCAUAUAUAAUGUUAUUACUUUUUUUUUUUUUUUUUUUUUUUGUUUUGUUUUUAGCAGCUGCUUACUGUUUUAUAUGGUGGAUAAAGUGGAGGAACAUCCAGCGAUGGGUGGCCAGUCGGAGAAGUUGCUGAGCUGUCAGUUUGUGGAGGUUGGUUGAGUGGGUGGUGCU